AACCUCCUCAACGCAUGAGUCAGGUUUAGCAUUUGCUCUUUAUCUUAGACGAGGAGUUAGCCUCUCGUCAAGGAGUGAUGUGAUCUAAAAUAUUGUAAUUCAGAAGAUAGCUCUAAGAAGGUAUCUAAUUCACAUAGGCAUGUGUAGUCCAGCCUGCGAGGAUGGCUGGAUUUUAUCUCUUUUUCUCUCACCUAAAACCGUGGCCCAACAAAGACCAACACAUGGAGUACACACCCUAGGGUGAGUCUAUGUUCUGAACCUGAGUGUUCUUCUGAUUUCCAUUUGUUGUGUGGACAACGCUGAUCCGUGUGAUGGCGUAGUCGUCUACGACCAUGAAACAUUCCCCAUCUCUUCUCAAGAAGGCGCCAUGGAGUGGAAUGCAUCCGGCGAACUACAAGGCCAUUCCAGUUCUGUCAAAGUGUUCCAGUGGCCCGGUCCUGCAAACAGUGGGCAACCUAUGGGGUCUUAUGGGAAUUCACAAGCUACUAGUCUUCAGGAAGUGGGGGAGGGUGAGUCUGUAAUGGACGACAGGGGACAGCUAUCAGUUCAUAUGGUGGACCAAAGCUGGCCAACAUGGACGGCAGGAGUGGCUGUACGUUCUGUACGAGAAUAUCUAGAAACCAAUGUGGGACCGUCUGUAUCCUCCACUGGUUCCACUGGUGAUGAUCAUGUCCCACUGGAGUUAGACUAGCAGGUGAAAGAAAACAAUAGUGUCAAGGAGGUGGAUGAAGAUGAAGAUUUACUGAACCCUCUGUGAACAUGGAGGCAACACUUUGAUUGAAACCAUGGAAUCCUCUGUGAUAAUGGAGGCAACAUUUUGAUUGAAACCAUGGAAUCCUCUGUGAUAAUGGAGGCAACAUUUUGAUUGAAACCAUGGAUUAUGGCAUUCAGUGGCGGUCCUAGAUUCUGGAGGUCAUAGUGAUUAUAUGGGACCCCUGGGGUUUUGUCAGUGCAUUGUUAGGUUAAUAGGUGACUCUAAAUUGAACCUAGGUGUGGGUGCAAGUAUGAAUGGUUGUUUGUCUCUGUGUUAGCCCUGCGAUAGGCUGGAGACCAGUCACUGCCUUUUGUGGGGUAGGCUCCAGCAACCUAAUGAGGAUAAGCGGUAGUAGAAGAUGAGUUCCAGGAAGUUCUCAUCUGCUGGAUUAUGAUGAAUGCUGAGAUUCCUUAAGACAUCUCACAAAUUGUCAAAUGAUAGUGUCACUCAAAUGCUUUGGAUAUCAGAUAAAGGUUUUGAUAAAGAGAAUAAGAAGUAUGCAUAACACAAGGAUAUAUGUGAAUAUGGCUGCAAAUAAAUAAUCAGCACUGAGUGAA